UAAUGGUGCCCUUGAGGCCCUAUGCUUGGGCCUGCUCCCACACUGUGGAGUGUACUUUCAUGUUCAGUAAACCCCUUCAUUCCUUCCUUGUUUUGUUUGUGCGUUUUGUCCAAUUCUUUGUUCAAGAUGCCAAGAACCUGGACACCCUCUACUGGUGACAUAUUUUGGCAAGCCAGCGGGGAUGAAGAGGAUUCCCAUUCUCCUCUGGGGAAGUGGUCUCUGGUCAUCUCCCAGGGGGAGACGUGACCCACUGCCUUGCUGACGUGGCCUCAAGGGCUAGAGAUCGGGACCCCACCUGCUGUGACGAAUAAACCUGGACUCUCGGCAACGUUGGAAGGAAAGGCUUGCCUACAAAUACCGUGGCAACCAGGACUGAAGAUCUCUUAGCGUAAACCCUGCCUCUUGAGUUUCCAGUCUAUCAGCACCGGCCCGGAGACUACGUCCUCAAUAAGAGCUGG